AUUGAACGCUGGCGGCAUGCCUUACACAUGCAAGUCGAACGGUAACAGGUUAAGCUGACGAGUGGCGAACGGGUGAGUAAUGUAUCGGAACGUGCCCAGUCGUGGGGGAUGACUGCUCGAAAGAGCAGCUAAUACCGCAUACGACCUGAGGGUGAAAGCGGGGGAUCGCAAGACCUCGCGCGAUUGGAGCGGCCGAUAUCAGAUUAGGUAGUUGGUGAGGUAAAGGCUCACCAAGCCGACGAUCUGUAGCUGGUCUGAGAGGACGACCAGCCACACUGGGACUGAGACACGGCCCAGACUCCUACGGGAGGCAGCAGUGGGGAAUUUUGGACAAUGGGCGCAAGCCUGAUCCAGCCAUGCCGCGUGCGGGAAGAAGGCCUUCGGGUUGUAAACCGCUUUUGUCAGGGAAGAAAAGGUUCUGGCUAAUACCUGGGACUCAUGACGGUACCUGAAGAAUAAGCACCGGCUAACUACGUG
rnacentral:rRNA from 1 species